rnacentral:rRNA from 1 species
GGGUUGUGAGGUUAAGUGACUAAGCGUACACGGUGGAUGCCUAGGCAGUCAGAGGCGAUGAAGGGCGUGCUAAUCUGCGAAAAGCGUCGGUAAGGUGAUAUGAACCGUUACAACCGGCGAUACCCGAAUGGGGAAACCCAGUGUGUUUCGACACACUAUCAUGUCAUGAAUACAUAGUGGCAUGAGGCGAACCGGGGGAACUGAAACAUCUAAGUACCCCGAGGAAAAGAAAUCAACCGAGAUUCCCCCAGUAGCGGCGAGCGAACGGGGAGGAGCCCAGAACCUGAAUCGGCUUGUGUGUUAGUGGAAGCGUCUGGAAAGUCGCGCAGCAAAGGGUGAUAGCCCCGUACACUAAAAUGCACAGGUCGUGAGUUCGAUGAGUAGGGCGGGACACGUGACAUCCUGUCUGAAUAUGGGGGGACCAUCCUCCAAGGCUAAAUACUCCUGACUGACCGAUAGUGAACCAGUACCGUGAGGGAAAGGCGAAAAGAACCCCGGCGAGGGGAGUGAAAUAGAACCUGAAACCGUGUACGUACAAGCAGUGGGAGCACCUUCGUGGUGUGACUGCGUACCUUUUGUAUAAUGGGUCAGCGACUUAUAUUUUGUAGCAAGGUUAACCGUAUAGGGGAGCCGUAGGGAAACCGAGUCUUAACUGGGCGAAUAGUUGCAAGGUAUAGACCCGAAACCCGGUGAUCUAGCCAUGGGCAGGUUGAAGGUUGGGUAACACUAACUGGAGGACCGAACCGACUAAUGUUGAAAAAUUAGCGGAUGACUUGUGGCUGGGGGUGAAAGGCCAAUCAAACCGGGAGAUAGCUGGUUCUCCCCGAAAGCUAUUUAGGUAGCGCCUCGUGAACUCAUCUUCGGGGGUAGAGCACUGUUUCGGCUAGGGGGCCAUCCCGGCUUACCAAACCGAUGCAAACUCCGAAUACCGAAGAAUGUUAUCACGGGAGACACACGGCGGGUGCUAACGUCCGUCGUGAAGAGGGAAACAACCCAGACCGCCAGCUAAGGUCCCAAAGUCAUGGUUAAGUGGGAAACGAUGUGGGAAGGCAUAGACAGCCAGGAUGUUGGCUUAGAAGCAGCCAUCAUUUAAAGAAAGCGUAAUAGCUCACUGGUCGAGUCGGCCUGCGCGGAAGAUGUAACGGGGCUAAACCAUGCACCGAAGCUGCGGCAGCGACGCUUAGGCGUUGUUGGGUAGGGGAGCGUUCUGUAAGCCGUUGAAGGUGGCCUGUGAGGGUUGCUGGAGGUAUCAGAAGUGCGAAUGCUGACAUAAGUAACGAUAAAGCGGGUGAAAAGCCCGCUCGCCGGAAGACCAAGGGUUCCUGUCCAACGUUAAUCGGGGCAGGGUGAGUCGACCCCUAAGGCGAGGCUGAAAAGCGUAGUCGAUGGGAAACAGGUUAAUAUUCCUGUACUUGGUGUUACUGCGAAGGGGGGACGGAGAAGGCUAGGCUAGCCGGGCGACGGUUGUCCCGGUUUAAGCGUGUAGGGGGUGUGACCUGGUAAAUCCGGUUACAUAUCAACCCUGAGGCGUGAUGACGAUGCACUACGGUGCAGAAGUAGUUGAUGCCCUGCUUCCAGGAAAAGCCUCUAAGCUCUAGGUAACAUUGAAUCGUACCCCAAACCGACACAGGUGGUCAGGUAGAGAAUACCAAGGCGCUUGAGAGAACUCGGGUGAAGGAACUAGGCAAAAUGGUGCCGUAACUUCGGGAGAAGGCACGCUGGCAUGUAGGUGAAGUCCUUCGCGGAUGGAGCUGAAGCCAGUCGAAGAUACCAGCUGGCUGCAACUGUUUAAUAAAAACACAGCACUGUGCAAACACGAAAGUGGACGUAUACGGUGUGACGCCUGCCCGGUGCUGGAAGGUUAAUUGAUGGGGUCAGCCGCAAGGCGAAGCUCUUGAUCGAAGCCCCAGUAAACGGCGGCCGUAACUAUAACGGUCCUAAGGUAGCGAAAUUCCUUGUCGGGUAAGUUCCGACCUGCACGAAUGGCGUAAUGAUGGCCAGGCUGUCUCCACCCGAGACUCAGUGAAAUUGAACUCGCUGUGAAGAUGCAGUGUACCCGCGGCAAGACGGAAAGACCCCGUGAACCUUUACUAUAGCUUGACACUGAACAUUGAGCCUUGAUGUGUAGGAUAGGUGGGAGGCUUUGAAGCGUGGACGCCAGUCUGCGUGGAGCCAUCCUUGAAAUACCACCCUUUAAUGUUUGAUGUUCUAACUCGGCCCCAUAAUCUGGGGUGAGGACAGUGUCUGGUGGGUAGUUUGACUGGGGCGGUCUCCUCCCAAAGAGUAACGGAGGAGCACGAAGGUUAGCUAAUCACGGUCGGACAUCGUGAGGUUAGUGCAAAGGCAUAAGCUAGCUUGACUGCGAGAGUGACGGCUCGAGCAGGUACGAAAGUAGGUCUUAGUGAUCCGGUGGUUCUGAAUGGAAGGGCCAUCGCUCAACGGAUAAAAGGUACUCCGGGGAUAACAGGCUGAUACCGCCCAAGAGUUCAUAUCGACGGCGGUGUUUGGCACCUCGAUGUCGGCUCAUCACAUCCUGGGGCUGAAGUAGGUCCCAAGGGUAUGGCUGUUCGCCAUUUAAAGUGGUACGCGAGCUGGGUUUAGAACGUCGUGAGACAGUUCGGUCCCUAUCUGCCGUGGGCGUUGGAAGAUUGAGAGGGGUUGCUCCUAGUACGAGAGGACCGGAGUGAACGCACCACUGGUGUUCGGGUUGUCAUGCCAAUGGCAUUGCCCGGUAGCUAAGUGCGGAAAAGAUAAGCGCUGAAAGCAUCUAAGCGCGAAACUUGCCUCAAGAUGAGUCUUCCCUGGGCCUUUAAGGUCCCUGAAGGAACGUUUAAGACUAAGACGUUGAUAGGCUGGGUGUGUAAGUGCAGCGAUGCAUUGAGCUAACCAGUACUAAUGAUCCGUGAGGCUUAACCUUACAACACCGAAGGUGUUU